AUUGAACGCUGGCGGCAGGCCUAACACAUGCAAGUCGAGCGGAGCGGCGGACGGGUGAGUAAUGUAUGGGAAUCUGCCUGGUAGAGGGGGAUAACUUCCGGAAACGGGCGCUAAUACCGCAUACUAUCAGAUGAGCCCAGAUGGGAUUAGCUAGUUGGUGGGGUAAAGGCCUACCAAGGCGACGAUCCGUAACUGGUCUGAGAGGAUGAUCAGGCACACUGGAACUGAGACACGGUCCAGACUCCGACGGGAGGCAGCAGUGGGGAAUAUUGGACAAUGGGCGAAAGCCUGAUGCAGCCAUGCCGCGUGUGUGAAGAAGGUCUUCGGGUUGUAAAGCACUUUAAGUUGGGAGGCGUUACCAACAGAAUAAGCACCGGCUAACUUCGUGCCAGCAGCCGCGGUAAUAC
rnacentral:rRNA from 1 species